GAGUUUGAUCCUGGCUCAGGAUGAACGCUAGCGGCAGGCUUAACACAUGCAAGUCGAGGGGUAACGAUGUCUUCGGACAGGCGACGACCGGCGCACGGGUGAGUAUCGCGUUUGUAACCUACCUUUAACUGGAGCAUAGCCCGAAGAAAUUCGGAUUAAUACUCCAUAAUACUAUGAACUGGCAUCUUUUUAUAGUUAAAGCUCCGGCGGUUAAAGAUGGGCAUGCGUAACAUUAGCUAGUUGGUGAGGUAAUAGCUCACCAAGGCUACGAUGUUUAGGGGGUCUGAGAGGAUGGUCCCCCACACUGGUACUGAGACACGGACCAGACUCCUACGGGAGGCAGCAGUGAGGAAUAUUGGUCAAUGGGCGCAAGCCUGAACCAGCCAUGCCGCGUGAAGGAUGACGGCGCUAUGCGUUGUAAACUUCUUUUGUACGGGAAGAAACCCUGCUACGUGUAGCAGUUUGACGGUACCGUACGAAUAAGCAUCGGCUAACUCCGUGCCAGCAGCCGCGGUAAUACGGAGGAUGCAAGCGUUAUCCGGAUUUAUUGGGUUUAAAGGGUACGUAGGCGGAGACUUAAGUCAGUAGUGAAAUCCUGCAGCUUAACUGUAGAACUGUUAUUGAUACUGGGUCUCUUGAAUAUUGUUGAGGUAGGCGGAAUAAGUAAUGUAGCGGUGAAAUGCUUAGAUAUUACUUAGAACACCGAUUGCGAAGGCAGCUUACUAAGCAAUUAUUGACGCUGAGGUACGAAAGCGUGGGGAGCGAACAGGAUUAGAUACCCUGGUAGUC
rnacentral:rRNA from 1 species